UAUCCUUUCUAGAGCACUGUCUUGAAGCUCUCACCUGCAGCCACAUUUGCUCUGAAAUAAACUUCCAAGCAUCAAGAUUUGUGCUGGGUAGCCGGAAAGAACUGAAACAACAGCCACAGCUAAAGCAGAGACUUCCUUAUUCAGUUUUAAUGGCUGCAAACUACAAACGCUUCCUUAUGAUCUAAGCUUUAUAAUUCUGAGAAAUAAAAGUAAAAGCAAUGACCUGAUGAAUGCA